rnacentral:rRNA from 1 species
CCUACGGGAGGCAGCAGUAGGGAAUAUUGCUCAAUGGUGGAAACCCUGAAGCAGCAACGCCGCGUGGAGGAUGAAGGUUUUCGGAUUGUAAACUCCUUUUGUUAGAGAAGAUAAUGACGGUAUCUAACGAAUAAGCACCGGCUAACUCCGUGCCAGCCGCCGCGGUAAUACGGAGGGUGCAAGCGUUACUCGGAAUCACUGGGCGUAAAGAGCGCUUAGGCGGGAUAGGAAUUCUGAUGUGAAAUCCUAUGGCUUAACCAUAGAACGGCAUUUGAAACUGGUAUUCUAGAGGAUGGGAGAGGUAGGUGGAAUUGUUGGGGGAGGGGUAAAAUCCGUAGAGAUCAAGAGGAAUACUCAUUGCGAAGGCGAGCUGCUAGAACAUAACUGACGCUGAUGCGCGAAAGCGUGGGGAGCAAACAGGAUUAGAUACCCCUGUAGUC